rnacentral:rRNA from 1 species
UGGGGAAUUUUGCACAAUGGAGGAAACUCUGAUGCAGCGACGCCGCGUGAGUGAUGAAGAUCUUCGGAUUGUAAAACUCUGUCCUUAGUGAAGAUAAUGACAGUAACUAAGAAGCAAGCCCUGGCUAAAUACGUGCCAGCAGCCGCGGUAAUACGUAUGGGGCAAGCGUUGUCCGGAAUUAUUGGGCGUAAAGGGUACGUAGGCGGUUUAAUAAGUCCUAAUUAAAAGGCUAAGGCUUAACCAUAGUAUGGUUAGGAAACUGUUGAACUUGAGUAGGUGAGGGGAAAGUGGAAUUCCAGGUGUAGCGGUGAAAUGCGUAGAUAUAUGGAGGAACACCAGUGGCGAAGGCAACUUUCUGGAAUCAAACUGACGCUGAGGUACGAAGGCGUGGGGAGCAAACAGG